rnacentral:lncRNA from 1 species
CUCCCCUUCUAAUCUUGCCUCAGCUCAUUGGCUAAGGCUUCAAAAAUAAAAAUUGACAGGUAAAUGUCUACACAUUGCACAAAAGAUUUCCAAAAAUUUCCUUCACAUGUUGUCUCUGUGAGUUUGAGGCCAACCUGGACUACACAGUGAAUUCCAAGAUAGCCAGGGCUAUACAGGGAAACCCUGUCUUAAAAAACUAGGGAGGUUGGGGGGUGGAAGGAAAACCAAAAACAAAUAUGUAAAUUAAAUAAAAAAUAUAAACUUUUGUUUUUUUUACACAAUAAUUUAAACAUUAACUAAUGAAAAAAUUCUUCCUCUAAGGCCCUCCUUUUUCUGCCGCUCUUCCCAGCAAGGUGAUGGCUGAUAACAGCAGUGAUGAGUACGAGGAGGACAACAAGGAGAAGAAGAAGCCCUCACAGCUGACCCCUCAGCAAGGCUUCAGUGAGAAUGAUGACGACGAUGACGAUGACUCCUCUGAGACCGACUCUGAUGACGAUGACGACGACGAGGAGCAUGGAGCACCCCUGGAAGGGGCCUAUGAUCCUGCGGACUAUGAGCAUCUGCCAGUCUCGGCUGAGAUCAAGGAGCUCUUUGAGUACAUUAGCCGGUACACACCUCAGUUGAUUGAUCUGGACCACAAACUGAAACCUUUCAUUCCUGAUUUUAUCCCAGCUGUUGGGGAUAUCGAUGCAUUUUUAAAG